rnacentral:ncRNA from 1 species
CUGACACGUGUGCGAGUACCCGGGUGGCAAGCCCGCGUGCGGAAUGAAAGUGAAGGGGGGCCCUGCCAACCGACCUUGACCUGCUGUGAGGGGUUUGAGUGGAGCACACCUGUCGGGACCCGAAAGAUGGUGAACUAUGCCUGGGUAGGGUGAAGCCAGAGGAAACUCUGGUGGAGGCUCGUAGCGAUACUGACGUGCAAAUCGUUCGUCGAAUCUGGGUAUAGGGGCGAAAGACUAAUCGAACCAUCUAGUAGCUGG